rnacentral:rRNA from 1 species
CCUACGGGAGGCAGCAGUAGGGAAUAUUGCUCAAUGGGGGAAACCCUGAAGCAGCAACGCCGCGUGGAGGAUGACUGUUUUAGGAUUGUAAACUCCUUUUGUUAGAGAAGAUAAUGACGGUAUCUAACGAAUAAGCACCGGCUAACUCCGUGCCAGCAGCCGCGGUAAUACGGAGGUUGCAAGCGUUACUCGGAAUCACUGGGCGUAAAGCGCGCGUAGGCGGGUUAGCAAGUCAGAUGUGAAAUCCUAUGGCUUAACCAUAGAAUUGCAUUUGAAACUGUUAGUCUCGAGUAUGGCAGAGGUAGGUGGAAUUCUUGGUGUAGGGGUAAAAUCCGUAGAGAUCAAGAGGAAUACUCAUUGCGAAGGCGACCUGCUAGAACAUAACUGACGCUGAUGCGCGAAAGCGUGGGGAGCAAACAGGAUUAGAUACCCGUGUAGUC